CCUACGGGAGGCAGCAGUUAGGAAUAUUGGACAAUGGGCGAAAGCCUGAUCCAGCCAUGCCGCGUGUGUGAUGAAGGCCCUAGGGUUGUAAAGCACUUUCGUUGGGGAUGAUAAUGACCGUACCCAAAGAAGAAGCACCGGCUAACUUCGUGCCAGCAGCCGCGGUAAUACGAAGGGUGCAAGCGUUGUUCGGAAUCACUGGGCGUAAAGAAUGCGUAGGCGGCUUAACAAGUCGGGAGUGAAAUCCCAGGGCUCAACCCUGGAACUGCUCUCGAGACUGUUUUGCUAGAGUCCCGGAGGGGUUAGCGGAAUUCCGAGUGUAGAGGUGAAAUUCGCAGAUAUUCGGAGGAACACCAGUGGCGAAGGCGGCUAACUGGACGGGAACUGACGCUGAGGCAUGAAAGUGUGGGGAUCAAACAGGAUUAGAUACCCUGGUAGUCCACACCGUAAACGAUGUGUGNUAGUGUCGGCGAGCUUGUCUGUUCGGUGGUACGGAGUCGUUAACGUUUAAGUACACACCGCCGUCGGAGGUACGGCCGCCGAACGGUUAAACGUAACGAAAGUAGAAGUUAGACGGUCGUGUAGACGUUAGUCCGAACGGACGACGACGAGGGAGGAGG
rnacentral:rRNA from 1 species